rnacentral:rRNA from 1 species
GGGAAUCUUGCGCAAUGGGCGAAAGCCUGACGCAGCCAUGCCGCGUGGAUGAUGAAGGUCUUAGGAUUGUAAAAUCCUUUCGGCGGGGACGAUAAUGACGGUACCCGCAGAAGAAGCCCCGGCUAACUUCGUGCCAGCAGCCGCGGGAAUACGAAGGGGGCUAGCGUUGCUCGGAAUUACUGGGCGUAAAGGGCGCGUAGGCGGACAGUUCAGUCGGGGGUGAAAGCCCGGGGCUCAACCUCGGAAUUGCCUUCGAUACUGGCUGUCUUGAGUAUGAGAGAGGUGUGUGGAACUCCGAGUGUAGAGGUGAAAUUCGUAGAUAUUCGCAAUAACACCAGUGGCGAAGGCGGCUCACUGGUCCGGAACUGACGCUGAGGUGCGAAAGCGUGGGGAGCAAA